UCAUAUUACCCACAGACACCAAUUGCUAAGAGGAUCCUAACCUCGCCAUUUUUCUAUUUGUUGACAGAGUCAAAGGCUAGUGAUGGACCCUUGUACAACUACCCAGGAUGUGAUGCAAUGUAGCCUGUGUGAGACUCCUAAAGUGCAGAUGUACUGUGAAGCAUGUCUUGUCAACCUAUGCAAGGUCUGUGUCGGAGAACACAUCUCAACUAGUGAAUCCAAGGAUCACAAAUUUGUCAAAUUACAGUCUGAGAAAACCACUCCCCUUUAUUCUGGAUGUGCCGCCCAUGAGGGAAAACAAUGUGAGAUGUACUGUACUCUAUGUGAUAUUGCUGUUUGCUCCACUUGCAUGAUUUCUGGUCAACACAUGGGCCACACUGUCGUGAAAAUCUCAGAUAUUUAACAGUUGGCGUUUUCUAAAUAUUCAGGUUACCGCAAAACGAAUUAUAUUUUCUAAAACAAUGAAAUAUGAACAUUUUUGCAAUAUAAACUUGUUCUGUUCUAUGUUAAGAAAUUAUCGUAAAUUUGAAGUGAUUAUUGCAUGUUAUUGUAGGAAGUUGAUAAAAUUAUGCAUGAA